rnacentral:rRNA from 1 species
UACGUAGGCAGCAAGCGUUGUCCGGAAUCACUGGGCGUAAAGGGCGCGUAGGUGGCUUUGUAAGUUUGCGGUGAAAGCCCGGGGCUCAACCCCGGGUCUGCCGUGGAUACUGCAAGGCUUGAGUACUGUAGAGGCAGGUAGAAUAUCGGGUGUAGCGGUGGAAUGCGUAGAGAUCCGAUAGAAGACCGGUGGCGAAGGCGGCCUGCUGGGCAGUAACUGACACUGAGGCGCGACAGCGUGGGGAGCAAACAGG